rnacentral:rRNA from 1 species
CCUACGGGUGGCUGCAGUGGGGAAUAUUGGACAAUGGGGGGAACCCUGAUCCAGCCAUGCCGCGUGUGUGAAGAAGGCCCUCGGGUUGUAAAGCACUUUCAGUGAGGAAGAACGCCUGGUGGUUAAUACCCAUCAGGAAAGACAUCACUCACAGAAGAAGCACCGGCUAACUCCGUGCCAGCAGCCACGGUAAUACGGAGGGUGCGAGCGUUAAUCGGAAUUACUGGGCGUAAAGCGCGCGUAGGUGGCUUGAUAAGCCGGUUGUGAAAGCCCCGGGCUCAACCUGGGAACGGCAUCCGGAACUGUCAAGCUAGAGUGCAGGAGAGGAAGGUAGAAUUCCCGGUGUAGCGGUGAAAUGCGUAGAGAUCGGGAGGAAUACCAGUGGCGAAGGCGGCCUUCUGGACUGACACUGACACUGAGGUGCGAAAGCGUGGGUAGCAAACAGGAUUAGAUACCCUUGUAGUC